rnacentral:tRNA from 1 species
GGGGUUGUAGUGUAGUGGCUAUCACGCGUCAUUUGCAAUGCCCCUAGGUACGUCAUUGCAAUGUCCUGGGGCCUGAAAAUUUGACGAGGUCCCGGGUUCAAUCCCCGGCGACUCCA